UUUUCCUGCCCUCCCUGAGGCUGCAGGACUUUAGGAUUUAUUGUAGCCACUCUUAGAAGGACAGUUGCAGUUGUGUCUGUAGAGAGAGCCUAUAAAUAUCAGGGCAUUUGGUAACUGAGAGUAGAGACAACUGUCAUAAUCAUGGGUUCUGCAAAGACUUGAGUCUGCUGGAAGCAGUGUCUUGGGGUCGGCAACAGGCCCUUCAGGAGGAUGGCUGGGGAGGGGUUUGGGGACAAUCAAAAGGACUAUAUUUUGCAACUCGCUUAUUUUCCUGAAAUGAAAUUCAUAGGUUGCCUGUCCUGAGAAAACUCAAAGACAAUGGUGCCAAGGAAGAACAGAAUUUCAUAAAUGAAGAAUGACAGAUGGCACUAAGAGUUCAAGUAAGGUUUCCAAGCAUGAAGCAGACCCAGCUCAGGGAAAGAGAAAAG
rnacentral:lncRNA from 10 species